GGAGAGGUGUCCGAGUGGCUGAAGGAGCACGCUUGGAAAGCGUGUGACUCUUAAUGGGUCCGUGGGUUCGAAUCCCACCCUCUCCGCCA
rnacentral:tRNA from 1 species